GCUUUGUGCAACUCCCUAACAGCUUUGGUGGCCCGUAAGAGGACUGGCCAUUACCUACUGACCGGAAUCCAUCUCAACCAGAUCGCCUUCUCAACUUAUCUCAGAGAGAAAACUGCAGUGCUGCAAAUACAACUGAUUCAGCAUUAUGGUAUCUACCAAGUGCAAGCAAUCCCACUCUACAAGAGCACUACAAGCCUUCCAGAACUCAAACUUGUAAGAUAAGGAAACUGAAGCUCUGUCGUUCAUCUAAAGUUUCACCUAGGACCGGCUAAAGAAGAACUGGAAUGCAGAAUGAGGAGCUUAUGAGGUUCUCACCCUGGCUCCUCCCACCCAUGCUUGGAUUCAAACAAGUGGCCACUCACUAGCAUAUCCAAAUGGAUACCAGAGCCAUUUUCCAGACCUCAGGAGUCCUAUAGCCUUUCACCAGCCAAGCUAUGGUGCUGGUGCUGGUGCUGGAGCCAGAUAAAGAACCAACUGCCCAAGUGAGCCUGGAAAUACACACAUGUCAUCUCUCUGGAGAGCAAAAUUGACACCAUGACUACUGUUCUGGGACUGCCCUUUAAAACC